AUGAAUAAUGGGAACGUGUACAACUCGUAUGGAACAUCAUGGGCAGAUCAGUGGGACAAUGGUCCUGAUCCUAUUAUGGCUGGUUCCAAAAACAAGAACAGCACAACAAAGUAUAAGGAAAAAGUUGGGGAAGGUUUAGGUAAGACCAAAGUAGUUGCUUCCAGUGGUAUGAAGAAGAUAAAAGAUGGUACCUCUGUUGGUCUCAACUGGAUCAAGACCAAGUAUUCUAAAGCCACCAACAAACAUUAG